rnacentral:rRNA from 1 species
ACUCUAAGCGGUGGAUCACUCGGCUCAUGGGUCGAUGAAGAACGCAGCAAACUGUGCGUCAUCGUGUGAACUGCAGGACACAUGAACAUCGACAUUUUGAACGCAUAUCGCAGUCCAUGCUGUUAUGUACUUUAAUUAAUUUUAUAGUGCUGCUUGGACUACAUAUGGUUGAGGGUUGUAAGACUAUGCUAAUUAAGUUGCUUAUAAAUUUUUAUAAGCAUAUGGUAUAUUAUUGGAUAAAUAUAAUAAUUUUUAUUCAUAAUAUUAAAAAUAAAUGAAAAACAUUAUCUCACAUUUGAAUGUGAAAAACGAAGAGAAAUAUUUUCUUUUUCAAUCAAAUAAUACUGAGAAAUGUCUAGCAUAAAAAAUUGAAAUAUUUUUCAUCUAGAAUUGUCUCUUAUUAAUGAUUCGGAAAUAGAAAAAUCUUGGUUAUGUUAUUAUUCUUCGUUGGUUCGUUAAAAAUGAUAAAUAAAAACUUUGCAUACAAGAAUUAAUAAAAAUGUUAUAACGAAUUUAAUUAAAUGUUUUAUCAUUAUAUAUAAAGAAUUUAUGGCAAAUAAAGUUAUAUACAACCUCAACUCAUAUGGGACUACCCCUGAAUUUAAGCAUAUUAAUUAGGGGAGGAAAAGAAACUAACAAGGAUUUUCUUAGUAGCGGCGAGCGAAAAGAAAACAGUUCAGCACUAAGUCACUUUGUCUAUAUGGCAAAUGUGAGAUGCAGUGUAUGGAGCGUCAAUAUUCUAGUAUGAGAAAUUAAGAUUUAAGUCCUUCUUAAAUGAGGCCAUUUACCCAUAGAGGGUGCCAGGCCCGUAUAACGUUAAUGAUUACUAGAUGAUGUUUCCAAAGAGUCGUGUUGCUUGAUAGUGCAGCACUAAGUGGGUGGUAAACUCCAUCUAAAACUAAAUAUAACCAUGAGACCGAUAGUAAACAAGUACCGUGAGGGAAAGUUGAAAAGAACUCUGAAUAGAGAGUUAAACAGUACGUGAAACUGCUUAGAGGUUAAGCCCGAUGAACCUGAAUAUCCGUUAUGGAAAAUUCAUCAUUAAAAUUGUAAUAUUUAAAUAAUAUUAUGAGAAUAGUGUGCAUUUUUUCCAUAUAAGGACAUUGUAAUCUAUUAGCAUAUACCAAAUUUAUCAUAAAAUAUAACUUAUAGUUUAUUCCAAUUAAAUUGCUUGCAUUUUAACACAGAAUAAAUGUUAUUAAUUUGAUAAAGUGCUGAUAGAUUUAUAUGAUUACAGUGCGUUAAUUUUUCGGAAUUAUAUAAUGGCAUAAUUAUCAUUGAUUUUUGUGUUUAUUAUAUGCACUUGUAUGAUUAACAAUGCGAAAGAUUCAGGAUACCUUCGGGACCCGUCUUGAAACACGGACCAAGGAGUCUAACAUAUGUGCAAGUUAUUGGGAUAUAAACCUAAUAGCGUAAUUAACUUGACUAAUAAUGGGAUUAGUUUUUUAGCUAUUUAUAGCUAAUUAACACAAUCCCGGGGCGUUCUAUAUAGUUAUGUAUAAUGUAUAUUUAUAUUAUUUAUGCCUCUAACUGGAACGUACCUUGAGCAUAUAUGCUGUGACCCGAAAGAUGGUGAACUAUACUUGAUCAGGUUGAAGUCAGGGGAAACCUGAUGGAAGACCGAAACAGUUCUGACGUGCAAAUCGAUUGUCAGAAUUGAGUAUAGGGCGAAAGACCAAUCGAACCAUCUAGUAGCUGGUUCCUUCCGAAGUUUCCCUCAGGAUAGCUGGUGCAUUUUAAUAUUAUAUAAAAUAAUCUUAUCUGGUAAAGCGAAUGAUUAGAGGCCUUAGGGUCGAAACGAUCUUAACCUAUUCUCAAACUUUAAAUGGGUAAGAACCUUAACUUUCUUGAUAUGAAGUUCAAGGUUAUGAUAUAAUGUGCCCAGUGGGCCACUUUUGGUAAGCAGAACUGGCGCUGUGGGAUGAACCAAACGUAAUGUUACGGUGCCCAAAUUAACAACUCAUGCAGAUACCAUGAAAGGCGUUGGUUGCUUAAAACAGCAGGACGGUGAUCAUGGAAGUCGAAAUCCGCUAAGGAGUGUGUAACAACUCACCUGCCGAAGCAACUAGCCCUUAAAAUGGAUGGCGCUUAAGUUGUAUACCUAUACAUUACCGCUAAAGUAGAUGAUUUAUAUUACUUGUGAUAUAAAUUUUGAAACUUUAGUGAGUAGGAAGGUACAAUGGUAUGCGUAGAAGUGUUUGGCGUAAGCCUGCAUGGAGCUGCCAUUGGUACAGAUCUUGGUGGUAGUAGCAAAUAAUCGAAUGAGACCUUGGAGGACUGAAGUGGAGAAGGUUUCGUGUGAACAGUGGUUGAUCACGAGUUAGUCGGUCCUAAGUUCAAGGCGAAAGCCGAAAAUUUUCAAGUAAAACAAAAAUGCCUAACUAUAUAAACAAAGCGAAUUAUAAUACACUUGAAUAAUUUUGAACGAAAGGGAAUACGGUUCCAAUUCCGUAACCUGUUGAGUAUCCGUUUGUUAUUAAAUAUGGGCCUCGUGCUCAUCCUGGCAACAGGAACGACCAUAAAGAAGCCGUCGAGAGAUAUCGAAGAGU